UACGUAGGGUGCAAGCGUUGUCCGGAAUUAUUGGGCGUAAAGAGCUCGUAGGCGGUUUGUCGCGUCGGCUGUGAAAACCUGAGGCUCAACCUCAGGCCUGCAGUCGAUACGGGCAGACUAGAGUCCGGCAGGGGAGACUGGAAUUCCUGGUGUAGCGGUGAAAUGCGUAGAGAUGUGGAGGAACACCGAUGGCGCAAGGCA
rnacentral:rRNA from 1 species